CAAGCAUCCUCCUCUCCCUCAUCCCCUCUGCAACCAAAAGGGAGAGGGAGGGAGGGAAGGAUGGUUGUGAGAGAAGAGAGCCAGAGAGAAAGGAAAGGGAGGGAAAGAACAAGGAAAGGAAAGGAAGGAAAAGGAGAGAGAGGAGAGAAAAGGAGGAGGGAAAGAGGGUACUGGCCUACUAGAGUAGAAGGGAAGGGAAGGGAAAGUGGUUGUGAGAGGAGGGAGGAGAAGAGAGAUGAGGGAAGAAGAGAGAAGAGGAAGAGAAAGAAAAAAGAGAAUGAGGGAGGAAGGAAGGGGAGGGAGAGUGUCGCGCCCCAUUUUUUAAUAAAAAUAAAAGAUGGUUUAAAAAUCGAAUUUUGAUUCAAUUUUUGGUCGGAAAAUGAAUUUUUGAUUUAAAAAGAAAAUGGAAAAACAUGGGUCUAAAUGGGACUUGAAAAUACGAUUUGACCCAAAAUAUAGUUUAAAAAAGAUUUUUUGAAUGAGAAAUGGAAUCGCCACUUGGUAUAGAGUUAAGGUGUACCAAGUCACCUAAAAAAAUG
rnacentral:lncRNA from 1 species